AAGCAUCCCUGGUGACCCAGCAGGUGCUUUUGCCUUGGGACUUCGGCAUUGGUUUAUGUGUGAGUGAACUCUUCCACCUCUUUCUGUCUGACUAGGGCCAGGGAGGGAGAGAAGGGUCCAAGAAGAGGUGCUUUGUCCCAUUUGGCGUGUAAGGUGUCCCAGCCACACUGAUUACAGUGCCACCGCAGUGAGCCCUCAGGAACCCACAGCCGUGACAGAAUGCCCUGCUUCUCUCCACAGCCUUCUUGGUUGCCUUGGGUGGAAAUCAUUUUUGAACCUGCUAAAAGCUAGUUCAUGACCAUUCAUGUGGUGAUGGUACAUUUUUGUAUUCUGACUAACCCAUUUCUUACCCAGUAUUUUGCAGGCUCAGGGCCUUGAGUGGGAUCUGUCACCCCUCCAUUUGUGAAAAAGAACCAUCCUUGUUUGAUAGUCACCUGACUCCACCCAAGCACUUGCAUAUACACUGGCCCAUGUCAGGGUCCCAUCCUCACACAGCUGCCUUUGUACAGAAUCCCAGCAGUUUUCUCAGAGGCAACAUGAGAGAGUAACCCUGAAACUCUCUUCUAAUCAGUUUCAACUUUGAGGAAACCUUGUUAUCUCUUCAUGAAACUGUGCCUGUCUUUAAAACUAUCAGGCCUGGGACAGCUCUGUGCAGAAGCAGCCUCGAGGGUACGGAGCAUGUUGCAGGGGCAGGAACUGGAGACAACCAGGAGCAGGGGGCCCAGAGAAACAAACAGAAGGGCAGUGCGAUGAAUCUGUAGGAAAGAACCGUCUUCCUCCUUGGUUUUGUUUGUCAGCGCAUGGAGGACCCCUUGACUUCUGGGCAGGAACAAAGGCAAGACUGCCUCUUCCUGGCCCUGUAGUGAGUGGGCUAGGGAGGGGCUUGUGGGACAAGUCUGAGCGGUGCCUGAGGAGAGGGGUGUUGCAGGAAGCCCAGAGGGGAAGGUGCAGGAGCUGCUGCUCUUGCUUUGCCCUUUGGACUUCCAGCACCCACUGCAGUCUUGGGCUUCACUUACGGACCAUGUGCUGCUGUGGAUUUCGGGAGAGGGCUCUCCUGCAUAAGUUAGCUAGGUUAGGACAGACUUAAUUACUCCCAGACAAACUUGUGGUUCAUUGUCUCCUGCCUUUUGUUCUUUCUGGUUUUGUGUUUUGUGCUGAAGAUAUCUAUGUCUUUCAGCUUGCAUUGCAAGAUGAUCAGUUUGUAUCUUAUCUCCUGUUUCUUUUGUUUUCCCUGGAGAACUUGUUAGUUCAGUGCGUACACUAGUUAUUUGAUAUAUGCUAAUUAUUUAAAUUAUCCUUCUCACCAUUUUGAUGGCCACUGUAAAGCAGAAGACUGUGUUCUUAAUGAGGUCAAGGUGGUGCCAUGGAGCCCCUACACAUGUGCUGUGUAGGGCGAAUGGGGUUUCAGAAUAGGGACAGUAGGACCCCCUUUAGAAUCCUGAGUGGGCACUGGGCUCCUCAUUCCCUCCACAGCCUGGCCAGGGUCUCUAUCCCCUUUUUGGUAAUAGAGUCCUGAGAACCACGAGGUCUCCAGCCCACUCCUGUAGGAGGGGAGAUACAGCUAGAUCUGCAGCAGUCUCUGUGUGACACAGGUGGCUGGCUGUGUGGCACUGGGGUGCUUUCAUACAGAUGCUUGAAUGCUGACUAGAUUAGGCUUCUUCUUGUUUCUGGGUUUGCUGAUUAACUUGAGAGAUGAAUUGGAGUGUUUGGAUUGAAGUUUGCUAUGUUGCUCAGCCCCUCCACUUCUGGGACAAAUUCCUGACAUGCACAGUUUAAAGGAGGCUGGUCUUGACUUACGGCUUCAGAGUUUUCGGUCCAUGUUCAGCUGUUUCCAAGGUAGAAAUCUCAUGGUAGAAGGGCGUGGUGAGGCAAGCUGCUCGCCUCAUGGCACCUAGCAAAUUUAGCAGGGAAAGAACCAAAGAGAGCUGCGUCCUUCCAAGACACACCUCCAGUGACCUAGUUCCUCCAGCAGCCCUGCCUCCCCGCAGCCCCUCAGUUGUGAACUCAUCCAUGAUCUGUUGAUGAGGUCAGCACCAUCACAGUCCAGUCACCUCUCCAGCCACCACCCCCUCCGCCCCUGAACGCUGCUGCAGUGGGGAUCAAGCCUUCACUGGGAGGGCACUUCGUGCUUAAAUUGUAACAGUUGAAGGGUACAAAGGACAUGCACAGUGUGACUGAGAUGCAUAGUGAGUGUUUAAAUGUUAAGCCUUUAUUACGAUAAAGGACCAUUGCCGUUAAUCCUCCUUCACAGUACCCCCACUUGCUUUGAACACACUGAUCCCAUCAUUCUUACCACUUUCCGAGGCGCUUCUGGAAGUCCUCUCUCACGAAUGUCUUUCCAAGGUGUGAUGAAGAGUGUGGGGGCUCCUGCUGCACGUACCCCACAGAAAGGCGGGCUGUAAAGCUGUGGUUGUCAUCAGCCACUGGAUCCAGCAUCUGUGGCUUCCGCACCCCCCCCCAGGGUUAAAAUAACCAUGAGAAGUAAACACUUCGAAUGAGUUCAAGACAUCAGGGCAGCCAUGACAGCACAGCCAAAGACAUUCAUAAAUGAGGACUUCCAGGACUGCUCCAGAAAGUGGCAAGAGAGACAGGAUGUGUGUUGGGAGAGAGCGGGCUGUUUCUAGUGAUACUAAUGGCAACGUGUUUUACUGUAAUACCAGUUUUUAAAACUAAACAUUCAUGUAGUUUUUAGUUACGCUUCCUACAUGCAGAACUCCAUGCCAGCACCCAAAGCCUCAGCGCAGGUCUUCCUCCGUUGACCUGAAAAAAUAAUUUUUUUCUUUAGUAGCCAAUGGGUACCUAAUAAUAGGAGACCAACAGAAAGUUAGGCAUGGAAAAAAAAUUAUUUUUCUCCAUCAGAAAAAAAAGUGCUUUGGGAGGAAACAACAAGGUACCAAGAGUUACAGCUUUAAAAAUGUAAAAAGACAAACCCACCAGACCGUGGCUUAUGUGAAUUCUGAAUCCAAAUGCCUGAGUGGUGUGCUGCCAGCUCCCAGCCUUUGGUCCCUUGACAAGAGCAGCUGCAGUCCUGCUGCCUGUCUUCUCCAGCCUAGUGGCCGCUGCUGGGCUGGUUUCCAGGCCUGGAGGGCACGUGGGGCCCAGGACAGCCCUGUCCAGCUCCACGCCAUCUCGGUCUUUUGGGUGGAGUCAGGGCUCCUCUACUGCCAUUGCUCACGCAGGCUGAGGUCAGCACCUUGAGCUCGCCUUCGGCACCCCACUCGCGUUCCUGGAAGGGUGCAAGCCAAGCUGUUUGUGUUAUUCUGGCAGGUGGUGGGAACAUCAGAUGACAGGCAUGAUGUUGCUGUGCUGGGGGUUGAACCCAGAGCCUUGUGUAUGCUCGAUACAUGCCCUGUCAGAUCCAGGACAAGAAGACAGGGACCCCUGUAAAGGGAGGUGGAGGACUGCAAAGUGGUUAAAAAGUGGUGCAGACAGGACCAGGAGUCAAUUCUUGUUUGCACAGAGAUGCUCCGAAUGAGUGAUUACAGAGAACUUGCGGUCUGUAGCUAUACAGGGCACGGGACUAUGCUUGCUUCAGCGCAGCGAGCGCAGGAAAUGGACUCAGCUCCAGCCGUGCCCCCUCCUCAUUCGGGCGGUGCCGCUCUGCUUCUUGGUCAUCAGCUGGUCUGCAGCAGGCCUCCUCAGGCUCACCUGCCCCAGUCCUGCUGCCUGUGGGGUCACAUGGGCCCUCUUGUGCUCCCUGCUCCCUUCCCACCUCAUCUCCUCUUGGAGACCUCACCUUAUCAGUUUGUCCCCUGCAAUUCCGUCCUUGGAAAUUGCUCUGUUCCAUGAAUUCUUCCAGCACUUUCUAUCAGCCCUCAGGGAUCAUCUGCUUCCUGAAGGCCGAUACCAUAUCUAAUUCAUCUCUGAUGUGACUAAUUCCUAUUUUCAAAUUUUGUACUUAGUAAACAUUCAGUCCUUAAAUAAAUUCACUAGGCUCACAGCCUCGGCAUUGUGUAAGCGCUGAGUGUUGAGAGCAGCAGGCUGGGGGCAGGACGUGGACAUGUGCCGUGUGCGGUGACUGAAGAGGCUGGAAGGUGCACCUGGAGGAGGAGGAGCACUCAUCUCCUGGCCAGCGGAGGAGGCAGCAGUGUCGAUGGCUUCCCCUUUGUGUGCCGGGACAUGGGGUGUGCCGGGAACCCAGGAGAAGGGAUGAGCGCAGACUGAGGAGGACUUCUGGUGGCUGAGUGGUUCCUAUAAGGGAAGCUUUUCUCUUUGGUAGCUUCUCUGGGAUGCACCAAGUGAAAAGGCAAAGUUGUCCUAGGGGCAGGGGAAGUCGAUCAUCCACAGGCAUGAGAGGGCUGGUGGGCACUGGAGUGCCAAGGCUGGUCUGUCUCCCAGGGGGCUGGGGCAGCCAACUCAGUCUGUGUCCCUACUUGUCAUGUGUCUCAGGUCUCUGUCCCUUUCCAGACUGUGUCUUUUUUUCCGAGUAGCUUGAGCUCAGGAUAAUUUUAACUGUGAUUUUAAAUACUGUGUUCUAUGUGUUGAUUUAGCAUCAGAGCAGUGUCUUAGUUUCAAUUUUGAGAUAAAGAAUCAGUGGUGUUAGACAGCCACUGGAGACUUACACAUGGUGGGGGUGUCCCUUCCUCCAGCUGGCAUAGAAGGACUGGGGCUGGUGACAGGGAUGCUGGCAUUGUGGCCACAGCAGGGACUGGGGCAAGGCAGUUUCCAGGCCAAUGGGGUUGUUACUUCACAAGAAGUAGGUCUUGAUGCAGACCACUCUCGCAUAGUCUCAGUUCACAGAGUAGAGGUCACUUGGUGAUGCAGAAGCCACCCACAGGACGCGUGUGUGCAUGUACACAGACAUCAAGGGAAACUGACCAGGGGAGAGCUGCGUGUUGCCUGUAGCAGAGGAAACUGUAGGCUGCACAUGCAGGUAGCCGUCACUGAGAGAUAGUGAGCCACCAUUAAAGUAUGCAGAAGACUGGUGGGCAUCCAUGGUUUCCUUGAUGUGUUUCCUGUGCAAUCCCAGAAUCGGAGGGAACUGUGCAAUAACUCACAUAGCAGAGGUUUUGAUCUGAAGGUCUCACCACAGCAGGCUCUGUGCUGCACCCAGGAAUUCUGGUUAAAAGGCUUCCUUAGUUAACCCUGAGGAUGACUUGUGAUUAUCUCCUGUCAUCAGCAGCAGUUGUGACUAAUUAGAGGCUGAGCCAAGUGGGAGGGUGUCUGAUGUGGUGGCGUGGGGCCCUCGUCUUGGGAGGUUUCUAUCUGAUCAGUAAACAUCUAUCCCAGACAGUGCUACUGGAUAUGGUAAACAGUGGAUUUUCAGGGCCUUUUUAAACCUCUCUCAAAUCAUAUCCUGCUGAAAAUGGUUUUCCCAAGAAGGAAAGCUCCAAGUUUAACAUCUGUUUCUAUGCAUCUCUCUCUCUGUGCAGAACGGUAACCCCACACAUUAUUUGUCUUCUAACGUUUGUUUAAUAGCCCGACUGGCAGCCUGGUGUCUUGGGUGCUCAGAGCAGGAGUUUGGAUUCCUGAGCUGGGUGCGUGCUUAUGCGCACCCAGGAAGACUCAGACCUCCCAUCUGCCCUGUCUCUUUGGAAACCUUCCCUCUGGGGAACUUUGCUUUCGCUCAGAAACAAUGUGAUCGACAGAAAUGCCUGUGUUGUGUCUGCUGUGGCCCAUGUGCUCACGUUGCUUUUCCCUCCCAGCUUUUCCCAUCAAGAAGUGGGUUGCAUCCUUUGAACACAGACUUUCAAGAGCCCCAAGAAAAGCAGGAGCUUCUAGCACAGAUGCAAGGGCUUCAUAGCGGCACAGCCACUGAGAACCUUGUGCACUGGCAGCCAGGCUGUCAUCAGGAAUGCUGUCCAUGAGGAGUGCCUUCUUCAACCAGAGUGCUGGGUGGGUUCAAGAGCUCAGCAGUACCCACUAGAGAGACAUUGAACACAGGCACAGGACACGUGGGCUAUGCAGGUCUCAUUGUUUUGCUUUUAAGAUGAUGCCUUCUUUGAGUUCUUGACAAAGGACAAGGAACGUAGACCAGAAGUCCGUUUGACAUGCUGCCAUGUCCUGGCCACAGACCAUGAGGCCAUUAGAUGGCUUCCCUAGGUGUGGUGGCAGGGACCAGAGGUGCUCUGCCUCAUUGGUGGCUGCCUUUCCCACUCCUUCCUCCUCUGGCUUGGCCUCCAUAGAGCAGUGGCUCAGAGAACGGCUCAUUAAUGUUCAUCAAGUGAGUGAACGAAUGAGCCAAAGUGAGGGUGGUGGUGGGACUGUGAGCAGGAAGAAGAAGCCAAGGUGCCUUUUCUUGUCUGCAGUGACACUGAGCAGUUUAGCUUGGUAAAAAUCCAUGAGACAACGUCUGAAAACCCUGAAAUAAUCUGCUUUACAUGUUAGAUUAACAUGGAAACAAAUGGAUUAGAGACUGGCGCUUCCUGUUUUGUUUCAAUAAGCUAAAUAUUGAUUCAUUCUGCAUUACCACUGUGGAAGUGGGUGUAGCUUCUUCCUUAGAGACCAGCUUCCCUGGGGUGGGCAGCAUCUUGUUAUGACAGCCCACUGUAUCAUUGUUUCCUGCUAUUGUCCAGGCCUUCAUGUUACGAUUUGGAAAAUGAGAUGGUACUUAUCUAAAGGGAUCAUUGCCUAAGACAAACUCUGCGCUUCUCUCCUGCCUCUGUGUUCACCUGUGCCUUCUUCCACAGUGACUCAAGGAAAAGAACUUCAGUGUUACUAUCCACUAAUCAUUUCUCUUAAUCAAGGUAAUAAUAGGAAUGAUAGCUAAAAACAGGAGUUUUUAAAACACGUUAGUCCCUGCCAAGCAUUUUAAAUGUAUUAUCUCAAUCCCUUGUAGCCUACCACAGAAAGCAGAAUACUUACCAUUGUCUGUAUACAGGUGAGGGACAGAAGCAGAGAGAGGUGAAGGUUGUUACAGAAGGCAAACAGAAAGUGCUUAUUCUGCAUGCUCAGUCAUGGGACAGAAUACCCAACACCUGGGAGUUAAAAGAGAAAACAUUUGUUUUUUUUUUGGGGGGGGGUCACAGUUUGUAGAGGUUUCACUCCUUAAUCAUCUGGUUCCAAGACAUAGUAGCAUGAUGCAGGGGUAUGGCAGAGAAGAAAGGGUUCAUUAUAUGGCAGUGAGCAGUAGAGCAGGGAUCAAGGGAAGAGGAGGGUUACAGAGCCCUUAUAGGCCACACCCACAGUGGCCCACCUCUUCCCAGCAUCACACCUAGCUCUAAGGGCAUCAGCGGGCUAAUCUAGUACCACACACCCAUGAUCCAGGGUCACACGCUACUGAUCCAGUCACCGCCCAAGUGUGUGACGCUUUGGGAGGACAUAUAAACUGCAGCAGCGCUGGUAUUAGCAUGCAAGCCCACGCUGUCUCUUCAGUACCCGGGCCACACUCGCGCUCCUGGUGCCACUCUCUAUAGGUAUGAUGAGAAGUCAGAAGCAGCUGGCCCAUUCUGUAGCCCUUGCAGGUGCCCCCAGCCUGGUGCUCUCUGGACCUGGAAUAGCCCUCUUCGAGUGCUGGCUGCAAGUUUGUGGGGCUCCUGGGCCUGCUGCAGACAUCUUCUUGUUCUACCUGCUUGCAUCUGGAUGCUUCCUCCCUAAAGCCUACUUGCUGCCCUGUGUCAGGAGGUUAUCUGCGCAGAGUGGGCUGCUGAAUGUCUCACAGUAUGCUGAGAAGUGCAGCUGCAUGCUUCCUGGCCAGAGGAGCUGCCCGAACGAACACUUUCUGUAGGGAAAGAUCACUGACCCAUCACUGAAGCCUGUAAGCACCUAGCCCUGCAGCCAGUAAAUACAAGUCACUCUGAAGAGGUGCCCACAGUUACUGCCGUGCCAGUCUAGAGAAGAAAGCUUCUCCAGAGAAGAGGACGUGUUGCCUACUAAAUACUGUGCACCUGGAUUGAAACAGCUGAUCCUGGAAGCUGGUGGCCUUUGAAAGAGCAGGCUAGGUCUCCGUGCUGAGCCCAGUCCAGAGAGUGACACUGGAAUCUGAAGGUGAUCUACAGGAGCAGCAGGCGUCUGCUAGAUUGCAGGCAGGGUGAAAGUAUUACACCAGGAUGUGCAAGGCCUUCAUAGGGGUCCCCUGCCGCCCACACUGGCUGCACCCUGGGCACUGCCCAUGGAAGGCCAGGCGUGGGAUCGUGUCCCUGCGGGAAGGAAGGGUAACCGCAUUUCCACGGGGCCCCCAGAGCAUGCAGCAGCACUGCAGUCCAUUGGCCUUGCUUCCUGGCUACCUGGCACGGUCAUAGGCCGCUGUGCCAGAUGGUCACAAGGUGGUGUGGCUCACUGAACCUGGAAUCUACUGAGAAGAUAAUCGUAUUAGAGCCUGGGAACAGUGGCUGUGUCUGCUCACACUGCCACUCGUCCUACCAGAAUUUUACUUGUUACGAGAGGAUGGGCGUGGCUGGGGGUGUGGGCCCCAGGAGGGCGCUUUGUUGUGUGCUAGGCCUUGGGCUUGAACCCUGUGGUGCAAAAAUGAAAAUAAAUCAAAGAAAGACUGUU